GGAGCUCGAGUAUCUCGAGUUAUACACGUCUUCCCCUCAAACAAAUGGUACCGCUAAACUCGUGAGGUCGAGGGAAGUAUGAUGUUGGAAAUAUGCCCUGAAAGUCAAUCUUUGGAAGAAACCUUUCAGGACAAUAAAUGGAUGUAUAGAUGACUCUUAUACAUCAAAUGGCAAAGAUACUAUUUAGGACUAUCUCUAUAAACGAUAUAUGUCCUAAAUGAUGAAUCCAUGGACAAUGGAUCGAUUGAAGAAGUAAUCUAAUGAUGUUACACUAUAGAGACCUUCUUCACAUAACCAUCAUGUCCAAAAGGUUCUUGGUCAUAGGAUUGUAGGAGGGAUACUGACAAUGCAUAGACCGGUACAUACUAUGUCCGCUUCAAUUAGACGGAUGGAAAGUCUCAUCCCAUUCGUGUAGUGACACUAAGACAAGUAUGUAGGUGCUCAUUAAGGGAAUGAGUUCACUGAACACAAUUGAACGAGAGUACUUGCAUAGAGGUCUACUCACAUGUCAAGCAAGUAACUCUAAUAGUUGGAAUAAUGUAAGUAGUCCUUUGACCUGAGGCAUCAUCGUGUCUUGUGGUUAAGUACUUGAUCUUUGAUUAUGUCAAAGUCACUCCAUCCGCGGGUGUCCACGGCAUAGUCGGGGUUAAGCCACUUAGUCAUGAAGGCAAGUGAAUGCGCAACAAGGAAUCUCUAAUCCUCAUUAAGAGAGGAUGAAUACUCUAAGAUAUGAUUCUGGAAUCUUCGGCCGAAGUAUCGAGCGUAAUAAAGGAAAGCGUUCCUAUACAACUCAAUUGAAUCAUAUAAGAAGGAAUAAUCACAUUAGGGGUUUGACAUAAUAUAUCCAUACCCUAGUG
rnacentral:lncRNA from 1 species